ensembl:lncRNA
UUUAAUGUUUCAGUUCAGUCUUACAGCUCCCAUCACCAAUAUUGCUUGCAAAAGCAGCAGGCGGUACAAAGCUCAGAAAAUAUACUGUUUGCAUAGCUUUACAGCAACAGACAGCGUGGAAAGUUUGUAACUAGCAGAUAAACAUCGAGCAGAAUUUAUUUAUGAAAGAGCCUUGUUUUUCAGUUAUACUCAGCAGGUGACCAGAAACAUGACUCCAAAAGAAUCUUAACAUUGUUUGUCAUUCGGAUCUGCCAAUGACAUAGACUGUAUAUAAAAGAUGGAUGUGGCCUCCAGGGCUAAAAAGUGAACCCAAAGCAGAAAUGCCUUAAACAUGCAUUCUUUCAAACAUCCAGCAGGGGGCGACUCCUCUGGUUGCAUAAAGAAGUUAGGUUGUAUCGAAGUCUAUGAAAAAACAUGGCCCUACUUCUCAGAUUUAUUGCCUCAGUAAGCAUUUUCCAUAACAGUUUACGGCCUCGAUCGCUGGUUUCAAAUCUAUUUCAAUACCGCAAGAUGUUUACUUUGCAAACUCUGGUCACAAUUAGAUGAAAAUAGCUGAUAAAGCAGGGCAUGUGUUAGGACGUGGCUUGUGACUGACAGGUUGCUACCAUAUGCUUGGUGUCGUCACAUUCACAGACAAGAAAAGUACUCAGACAGUGCAGUACUCCGCCAAGGCUGUUCAUUCCCCCAUAUGGUAUUGUCAGAAUGCAGCAUUUUUUUGUAGAAAUGCAGCAUUUGAUUAUCAGUUAUUAAUGAUCAUAAAUCACGGCAACAUAGAUUGUGUCCAUUUAAUAUAGAUGUACCCACAAACAAAAUGACCUUGCACUGAGCACAGGAUUGUGUUAUACAUGUGUACGUUAUGUAUGGAUACCGAAUCACAUGACCUAAAUAUGUAGCAGGCAGCGGGAAUUGAUGGGACUCAGAAACACCCCCACAAUUUAAUCAAUUGUUCCUUGUAUCAUUUCUGAUGGAUAAGUCCUGAUAAGUCCACAGCGGUGGAUUUGUAGUAGGAUCACAAUCAUGUGAUCAUCAGCAG